GACGAACCGUGCGAACGUUAUUCGGAAUCACUGGGCUUAAAGCGCGUGUAGGCGGCCCGGCGCGUCGGAUGCUGAAAGCCCCCGGCUCAACUGGGGAGGGUCACGCGAUACUGUUCGACUCGAAGGCAGGAGAGGGAAGUGGAAUUCCCGGUGUAGUGGUGAAAUGCGUAGAUAUCGGGAGGAACACCAGUGGCGAAGGCGACUUCCUGGCCUGUUCUUGACGCUGAGGCGCGAAAGCUAGGGUAGCAAACGGG
rnacentral:rRNA from 1 species